ensembl:lncRNA
GUUUUUAUAUUAUCACUGUUUCAAGUUUUGGGCCUGCUGGGAUUUGUUCUCUACUCAUUUAGUAUUUGCAUAGCUAGUUUUAGUUUCUGACCCAUCUGUGACCUAUCAGAUGAGACUCUGUGUUAAACACUGAUAAAAUUCCACGUAGAAUCGAUGAAAAGUCAAAGGUAGGAUUCACAGAAUUUCCCUGUGGUUUUAGAAUGUGAUCUCAAGAGCUUGGUGUAUUUAAUUUAUGAUUACAAUUUAGCUAUGGAACACUACUUCACCUCUUGAUUUUUGACUUUUUGUCCUCCAGAACAUCCUCCUGUGUGAAGAUCAAUGGAUCAGGUGGAUGUUUGGCACAACCCGACCAAAGAAGCAGGAGAUUUUAAGCAGAGGAAAACUCUGAAGUUGUUUCAGCAGGACACUUUCAAGAUGAUGCAAGUUGAUACAAAAUACCGAAGACAUCAAAAGUGUGACUGGACUGGCAUGUGAGGUCGUGGUCACAUUUGCUCAGCGUUGAACGACAACUCUCAGAUGGACGGCCUUCGAGAAAGGCGAUCCACCUGACAGGAAGAGCAAAGGAGUCUGAUGAAAGUCUAACAAGAGUUUGGUACGGUUUAGAAAUCCCUAGUAGUAUUAGAUAAAUUGAUAGCAAGGCAGUUCAUUUCAUAUCAUCCAAAUAGGUCAGCAUGCAAGGGUAUAUACUAUAUCUGCUUAAGGUUUCACCUUAGUCUUAUUAGCAUCUAACACAUUCACAA